rnacentral:rRNA from 1 species
GACGAACGCUGGCGGCGUGCUUAACACAUGCAAGUCGAACGGUAAGGCCCUUCGGGGUACACGAGUGGCGAACGGGUGAGUAACACGUGGGUGAUCUGCCCUGCACUUCGGGAUAAGCCUGGGAAACUGGGUCUAAUACCGGAUAGGACUCCUGGCUUCAUGGUUGGGGGUGGAAAGCUUUUGCGGUGUGGGAUGGGCCCGCGGCCCAUCAGCGUGUUGGUGGGGUAAUGGCCUACCAAGGCGGCGACGGGUAGGCGGCCUGAGAGGGUGACCGGUCACACUGGGACUGAGAUACGGCCCAGACUCCUACGGGAGGCAGCAGUGGGGAAUAUUGCACAAUGGGCGCAAGCCUGAUGCAGCGACGCUGCGUGAGGGAUGACGGCCUUCGGGUUGUAAACCUCUUUCAGCUAUGACGAAGCGCAAGUGACGGUAGUAGCAGAAGAAGGACCGGCCAACUACGUGCCAGCCGCCGCCGUAA